AAUGGGCGAAAGCCUGAUCCAGCCAUGCCGCGUGAGUGAAGAAGGCUUUAGGGUUGUAAAACUCUUUCGACAGGGAAGAUAAUGACGGUACCUGUAUAAGAAGCUCCGGCUAACUCCGUGCCAGCAGCCGCGGUAAUACGGAGGGGGCAAGCGUUGCUCGGAAUUACUGGGCGUAAAGCGAGCGUAGGCGGUUAGUCAAGUUGGUGGUGAAAGCCCGGAGCUCAACUCCGGAACUGCCAUCAAAACUGACUUACUUGAGAUUGGUAGAGGAAAAUGGAAUUCCUAGUGUAGAGGUGAAAUUCGUAGAUAUUGGGAAGAACAUCGGUGGCGAAGGCGAUUUUCUGGGCUAUAUCUGACGCUGAGGUUCGAAAGCGUGGGUAGCUAAUAGGAUU
rnacentral:rRNA from 1 species